AGAACGAACGCUGGCGGCAGGCCUCAAACAUGCAAGUCUAGGGGGUGUAGCAAUACAUCACCGGCGGACGGGUGCGUAACACGUGGGAAUAUACCUUUUGGUUCGGAACAACGCAGGGAAACUUGCGCUAAUACCGAAUGUGCCCUUACGGGGAAAGAUUUAUCGCCAAAGGAUUAGCCCGCGUAGGAUUAGCUAGUUGGUGAGGUAAUGGCUCACCAAGGCUCCGAUCCUUAGCUGUUCUGAGAGGAAGAUCAGCCACACUGGGACUGAGACACGGCCCAGACUCCUACGGGAGGCAGCAGUUGGAUCUGACAUGGGGAACCUGAUCCAGCCAUGCCGCGUGAGUGAUGAAGGCCUUCGGGUUGUAAAACUCUUUCGACGGGACGAUAAUGACGGUACCCGUAGAAGAAGCUCCGGCUAACUUCGUGCCAGCAGCCGC
rnacentral:rRNA from 1 species